rnacentral:lncRNA from 1 species
GUUUUUGAACUUUUAAUCAUUUUUUGCCAAUUCUAAUGUCUUCCAAACACAUGUAUAUAUCUAUAAAUUACCACUAACUUUAUAAAAACUGACCAAGAAUUGUGAAUUCAAAUAAUGAGUCUUCAAGUCUUCAAACUUCAUAUUCUCUUUUCCAAACCUUUAAAACUCCGACUCAAUCCAUAACUAUUCAUCACGACACAUCACGAAAUAUGCCAAUACUAAAAUCCGUGACAAUCUCCCUCUUUGGCAAUUUCGUGAUAAAAUUUAAAAUUAUAUAAAAAUGCUCAU